CCUACGGGUGGCAGCAGUGGGGAAUAUUGGACAAUGGGCGAAAGCCUGAUCCAGCCAUGCCGCGUGUGUGAAGAAGGCCUUCGGGUUGUAAAGCACUUUCAGUGGGGAAGAAAGCCUUGGGGCUAAUACCCUCGAGGAAGGACAUCACCCACAGAAGAAGCACCGGCUAACUCCGUGCCAGCAGCCGCGGUAAUACGGAGGGUGCGAGCGUUAAUCGGAAUUACUGGGCGUAAAGCGCGCGUAGGCGGUCUGAUAAGCCGGUUGUGAAAGCCCCGGGCUCAACCUGGGAACGGCAUCCGGAACUGUCAGGAUAGAGUGCAGGGGAGGAAGGUAGAAUUCCCGGUGUAGCGGUGAAAUGCGUAGAGAUCGGGAGGAAUACCAGUGGCGAAGGCGGCCUUCUGGACUGACACUGACGCUGAGGUGCGAAAGCGUGGGUAGCAAACAGGAUUAGAUACCCCAGUAGUC
rnacentral:rRNA from 1 species